rnacentral:rRNA from 1 species
AUUGAACGCUGGCGGAAUGCUUUACACAUGCAAGUCGAACGGUAGAGGGGCAACCCUUGAGAGUGGCGAACGGGUGAGUAAUGUAUCGGAACAUGCCCAGUCGUGGGGGAUAACGUAGCGAAAGUUACGCUAAUACCGCAUACGAUCUAUGGAUGAAAGCGGGGGAUCGCAAGACCUCGCGCGAUUGGAGUGGCCGAUAUCAGAUUAGGUAGUUGGUGGGGUAAAGGCCUACCAAGCCGACGAUCUGUAGCUGGUCUGAGAGGACGACCAGCCACACUGGGACUGAGACACGGCCCAGACUCCUACGGGAGGCAGCAGUGGGGAAUUUUGGACAAUGGGCGCAAGCCUGAUCCAGCCAUUCCGCGUGCAGGAAGAAGGCCUUCGGGUUGUGAACUGCUUUUGUACGGAACGAAACGGUGCUCUCUAAUACAGGGCGCUAAUGACGGUACCGUAAGAAUAAGCACCGGCUAACUACGUGCCAGCAGCCGCAGUAAUAA